GUUUUAUACAAUCGGAAGAAUUUUGUGAGUCCAUGCGCAAGGGCCAUCUCCCUAAUUCUCGGAAGUUUAUCUUGUUUGUGGACAAGAAAAUGUCCCUAGAAACAUCAGACGUAGUCCAUUAUGAAGAUUAAUCCUACUGUAUAAAAAAAGCAUCAAGGAAACCCCAGAGUUGGAACUUUGAAGAAAGUGACAGAUACAAUUACUAAAAUUGUUGAAUUGUCAAAGCUGUUGGAUGAUUUGUACAUGCAGAUUUGUGUGGUGUUUCAAGAUUAUUUUUUUUUAAUUAUUGUGAUUAAACAAUUCUAAUAUGAAUAUUUUACAUUUAUAUUUAUUUAAAAUGUUGGCUUAUAUUAACAAUGCAUUUUGUAAAUAAAUAUUUAUAAAGGUAUAGCUCAUUUAUUUAUUUUAAUUUUUGAAAAUUUACCAGCACAUAAACAAAGGAACUAUGUGCUACGAUUAUGGUUCUUAUGUCUUACAAUGGCAUAUUCUGUACGUUAAUCAACUAGCAGUGCUGCUAAAUAUUAUGUUUUUUUGUUGUUUAAUGUUUCAAUUUUGUAACAGAAACUAUGUCUCCUAAGCAAAACUUAUUGUGGGAAUUUUUAGCAAAAAUUUUCGGGAUUUACAUAUCAUUAUAAGCUCUAUUGGUGUGUUUUUGCACUAAAAUAAUAAUAAAUACAGUAAAUGGAUAUUUAUUCAAAACUAGAUGAUUUAAGUACAAUGUAUCUAUACUUUUUAUUACUUCACAAGUUAACAUACUUUUUCAUUGUAGUAUAAACACUGGUCCUACUUCCUACAAAUAUAUAAACUUAAAAAUUUUAAGGUUCAUAUGCUUUUCAAUUGUGCUUUUUACACUUAACCAAUUUGGUUACAGUUUGAUACAUAGGUAGCCCAUAUACUGGAUUAACACAAAUGCUAUAGAGUAACUUAUCAUUAAAAGUAUCCAAAAAACCCAUACUUUGGUACUUUUUAAUACUGUAUGCCUCAAAGUGUGUUGCUUUGUAAUGAUUUUUCACUAAUAAAAAAUUCCACCCCUCAGGGAGGGGUGAUAAGUAUCAUAAAAAUACCUCACAAUUAGGCUAAAUGAAGCAUAAGGCAAGGUUGAGUAUCCUACUAAUCUUUAAAUUAUGUAAUUUUUUGAGUUUAAAAGUUUAUAACGUAAUGAAGUCUUUGCUACUUACCUGAUUUUGAUAAAAUUUAAAACAGGAUUCGUAUCUUCUAGAUUAUAGUCUAACAAAUAAUGGAGUUAAUGUAAGAAUGUGAGUAAAUAUAAUAUUUUUAACUAUGACAUUUUAUCAUAUUUAGAUAAAGAAUACCAUUUUUUAAUUGGGAAGAAGUCAGGGCUUAGUAUAUUCUAAAUGGCUCCUUCUGACUUCUUAUACAUUCGACAAAAUAAAGAGAUUUUAUGUAACUGGAUUUUCCACACAAAACCCUCAAUAUACACUGUACAUGAUUAAAAUUCCACCUCUAAAUUGGGUUUAUAAUAGAAAAUGGUAGAAAGUAAUUUAUUUGGUGUGAAUUGUAAAAUGGCCAUUAAGUAAAACAUGUAGAGGCUUAGAGUUAUGUUUUUGCUCCAAAAGUAAGCUAUAUAGUUAUUAUAAGCACAAAAAUUAAGAGUGCUAUGUAUUUAAUUGCAUUCUAAAAUAGCAUGACUUUACUGUAAUUAUACUGGUUACAAAUUACCCAGAGAAUUUCAUAAAUUAACAUGUACUACACCAUGGAAAAUAACUUUAUCUUUGUAAAUUUUACAAGUGCUGUAAACAUAAUGGUAAAACAAUAUUUUUAUGCUACGGAGUUUCAGUAAUUUUUACAGAACUUUUGUAAAUUUGAGGAACAAUCUGUAUUUGAAUAUUACGAAGUUAUCGUAUAUUUACUGCAUUGGUUUUGAAAUUUACAAAUAAUCUUUAUUUGAAUUUCACAAUGUACUUGUAUAUUUACAGUAUUAAUUGUAAAAUUUACUAAGAAUACAUUUUUUAGUAUUACGAAGUACCGGUAUAUUUACGGCAUUGGUCGUGAAAUUUACGAAGAAUCCAUAUCUGAGAAUUACAAAGUACUAGUAUAUCUACGGCAUUGGUAGUGAAAUUUACGAAGAAUCCGUAUCUGAGUUUUACGAAGUACUAAUAUAUUUACGGCAUUGGUCGUGAAAUUUACGAAGAAUCCGUAUCUGGGUUUUACGAAGUACUAGUAUAUUUACGGCAUUGGUCGUGAAAUUUACGAAGAAUCCGUAUCUGAGUUUUACGAAGUACUGGUAUAUUUACGGCAUUGGUCGUGAAAUUUACGAAGAAUCCGUAACUGAGUUUUACGAAGUACUAGUAUAUUUACGGCAUUGGUUGUGAAA